rnacentral:lncRNA from 1 species
UGACAUUGUGAGGGUAAAAGAAAAUUACAUAUUGGUGAUUGAAGUCUCUUAUCUAUAUGCCCUGUUGGACUGGAAGAGGGGACAAAAAAUUGGAUAGAGAGGCAUGGUCAAAACAUACAGGAUAAGUGAUUUUAGCACGGUGCAAUAGCGAGAAUAGUUCUAUAGAACAAAGAAAGUGAUCUGGACGAGAAUUGUCUUGAUUAUCAUAUCCUGUAAAUGUUCGUUGGCCUGAGUCUCCAUGAAUAUGUCCUGUGGUUAUAA